rnacentral:rRNA from 1 species
GACGAACGCUGGCGGCGUGCUUAACACAUGCAAGUCGAACGGAAAUGCCCUGCUUUUUUGGGGUUCUCUCGUUGCGAACGGGUUAGUUACCCGUUAGUUACCUUCCCCUUCCUUUCGGAUUACUCCCUUAAACUGGUGCUAAUUCCGGAUUGUUCUUCCUGCUGCGUGUUGGGUGUCUGAAAGUUUCUGCGGUUUGUGAUGGACUCGCGGCUUAUCAGCUUGUUGGUUGGGUACUUGUUUAACAAGGCUUUGACGGGUAGCCGGCCUGAGAGGGUGACCGGCAACAUUGGGACUGAGGUACGGGCCAGACGCCGACGGGAGGCAGCAGUGGGGAAUAGUGCAAAGUGGGGAGAAGCCGGAUGCAGCAACGCCGCGUGGGGGAUGAAGGCCUUCGGGUUGUAAACAGGGUUCGGCUGUGACGGAGCGUGAGUGACGGUAAUGGGUAAAGAAGCACCGGCUAACUACGUG